AGUGAACGCUGCCGGUAGGCCUAACACAUGCAAGUCGAACGGCAGCACAGGAGAGCUUGCUCUCUGGGUGGCGAGUGGCGGACGGGUGAGGAAUACAUCGGAAUCUAUACUGUCGUGGGGGAUAACGUAGGAAAACUUACGCUAAUACCGCAUACGACCUACGGGUGAAAGCAGGGGCUCUUCGGACCUUGCGCGAUUGAAUGAGCCGAUGUCGGAUUAGCGAGUUGGCGGGGUAAUGGCCCACCAAAGCGACGACCCGUAGAUGGUCUUAGAGGAUGGUCAGCCACACAGGAACGGAGACACGGUCCAGACUCCAACGGGAGGCAGCAGUGGGGAAUAUUGGACAAUGCGAGCGAGCCGGAUCCAGCCGUACCGAGUGAGUGAAGAAGGCCUUCGGGUUGUAAAGCCCUUUUGUUGGGAAAGAAAUCCAGCUGGCUAAUACCCGGUUGGGAUGACGGUACCCAAAGAAUAAGCACCGGCUAACUUCGUGCCAGCCGCCGCCGUAA
rnacentral:rRNA from 1 species